AAAUCAACAUGGCGGAAUUAAGCAAGAGUGGAAGAAACAUGCUUCUUCGUCAACAGAGUCCAAACCACUUUGUCGGAAUAUUAGCAUUUAUGGUCUAUUUCUCCAAGAUUUCUUGAAGAAACUCCUUUAAAUUAUUUGCUGUACCUUGUCCAACUUCAAUGCCUUUUUCGAGAAAUCCUGAUUCAUGAUUGCCAGACUGCAACUUAUAGCAAAUCCAUUGUUGGUGUCGCAUGGCCAAAGUAAAUGGUGAAAAGCAAAGAGAUGUGAUUUGUAGCAAACUAAGAAAAAGUUUCCAUCGGUCAUUUUCUGGAGGAACAAUAUUUCCAAUUAUGAGUGCACUUGCAAGACAAUAUCGACAUGGCUUGUUUGCACUGCCGCUCUCUUUAAAUCCUCCUAACAACUGUGCCCCAAGAUUGUCAGCAGAUGUGUAUGCUAUGGAUCCACAGAAGGUCUCGUCUACACCUUUAAUGUCGAAGGAAUGACCACUGUUCUGAAACCAAAGUGGAAAAGUGAAGUUGUUUACUUUAUUAUGCUGCUGUAUGAGCUGAGCAUACCUUUUCUAACUUUUUUAAAUCAGUAACGAAUGGUUUUAGUACUGCAUCAAUUCCAUACUCUUUAAUGUUAGACGUUUUGCAUAGACACAGAAGCUGAAUUGCCUUCAUCGAUGACCGAUUUAAGGGAUUAAUAUUACCCAGUGUAUAGUAGAAUGCUCCUAAAAAUUUAUAUGUGUAAUUAUGAAAGUUCUAAUUUAAUAAUUUCGCGUUUGAUUAAUUUAUUUUACUUUACCAAUUUUAUGUUUAGUUGCCCUCGAUCCAAGCGGAUUGCAUGUUUCUAAAUCGUCGUAAUACAACAUAAUCUGAAGAGCCUCUGUUUUUUUCGAAAAAAUUGGGUGCAUUUUGAACUGAUGACCAUCACAAUAGUCUCUCAGAAGGCCAUCUGAACUCGUGUGAGGAUUUUUGACCUAAAAUUUAGAGGUGAAAGAAAUAACUUCUAAGAAACAUCAUUGUGAAGAUGAUAAUAUCUCAAGUGAAAUCAUCGUAAAUGCAACUUUUCCAAUUUGCCAUAAUGUAUAUUUGACUUAACUAUUAUUUAAUUUCAAAGACCAUGCACCUGACCUCUGCUAAAAUGAAGUCGUCAUUUAGAAGCUGUUGCAGACUAUCCAAAAGUGGUAUAUAAUAUGCCUCAUCAUUAACUUGAAUUUGCUCUAAUACACCAUUUCUUCUUUUGAAGACUCUCUUUUGACCCAGAAUAAUUCUACGUGGUUCCUGUUUAAAAAAAGCAAAGACGUCCAGGAAAAGCUUUUUCAUUAUUUUACCAUAUGUUUCUGCGUUCUCGUUAAUAAAAUGUAAUACCUUUAAUCCAAAAUUGUCUUUGUAAAAACGUCGUCGUUGUGCUUCAGUUUCCAAGUUUUUGAAUGGAUUGGCUAUUGCGUUGUUCUCUUCAAAAAUCUCUUGCAUCCCAGGCACAUUUUGACACGAAAUAUUUUCAUUACCUAAUCGCCUUUUUACUUGUGUUUCCACCGUUUUUAAUGUGUCUUGAAUGAGUGAUUUUGUGUUUUCUAUAAUACUUGUAACAGUAGUCUUCGGCAUCGAGAACUCUUCUUGUAUCUUGAGAAUAUAUAAUGCAGCCAAUCUGGUGUUUUCUAUGGUAUCGAUAUUUUCUUCCAAUACUACGCCUCCAUUUUCAUCAUUUUCAUUAUUAUUUCUUACGUUUGUAUGCUCCUCAACACUAUUUGGCUGCGAUGAAUGCUCUUUUUACAUGCUUUCGCCAAGUAUAAUAACUUUUAAAUGUUCUUGUACAACCACUUAUGCCACACAAACAAUGGAAAUUUGGAUCAUUCCUGUGACACCUUCCAAUGUGGUUUAUCAAUUGACUGCGAUGUUCAGCAGAAAAAUCUCCACAUAUAUUGCACUGCCAGGGCAUGUAAGCGUCGAUGUAUAUGUAGAUAUGGCAAAUUUUCCUUUUAUUGUCUUGUUUAUCUUAAAAGCUUGAGGUUUUUCAGUCCAUUUUUAAGAGCCGUUAUUUUACAAAGCUUCUUGUGACUUCUUUCCAAAGUACCGGAACAGUGUUUAUCCCAAUAACCAGGACAAGCAAACAAUUUCAAGUAAUACAAAAUAAAACAAAUAAAAAUCAUAGCUAAAAAUAUUUUGUCAUAACUGUCAUUUCCGCUUGUUAAGACAUUUAUAGCAUUGUAUUCUGUAAAUGAAACUGUUUUGCUGUGUUGUUUUUGGGCAGGAUGGACAAAAAUUUGAGGGAGAAACUCGUUAAUUCCAGCGUAGAAGAAGCAACAGUUUCUAUAUUGGAAAAUCAAAAAGAUGGACAAAAAUUUGAGGGAGAAACUCGUUAAUUCCGGCGCAGAAGAAGCAACAGUUUCUAUAUUGGAAAAUCAAAAAUUGAAUGACUGUUUUAUAUUAAAUGAAGCGGAUAUCAGUGUUUUGGUUUUGUGUGGAGUAAAGGCAGGUGAUGCAAUGCGAAUUAAAAAAAUUUGCGCAGAAAUGGUGGUUCAGAACAAAGACACGACUGCAUCUAUGGUAAGUGUU